UCUCCACCAUCAUCAAUUAAAAAAUCCACCACUUCAUAAUGUCUCCACCAACUCUCUAUUAUAAUUUUCUCCCUCAUCCAUCAUCUUUCCUAUUCCCUCAUUAUAAAAUUUCUUUUCCACCUUCAUCACUUCCCUUCUUUCAUUAAAAUAUUUAUCCCAUCCUCUUUCCAUAGAUUCCUCCACAAAAGUCCCACAAACUCUGUCAUUUAGCUAUUAAUCCAUGUG
rnacentral:lncRNA from 1 species